rnacentral:rRNA from 1 species
AUUGAACGCUGGCGGCAUGCUUUACACAUGCAAGUCGAACGGCAGCGCGGGCUUCGGCCUGGCGGCGAGUGGCGAACGGGUGAGUAAUACAUCGGAACGUGCCCAGUAGUGGGGGAUAGCUCGGCGAAAGCCGGAUUAAUACCGCAUACGACCUGAGGGUGAAAGCGGGGGAUCUUCGGACCUCGCGCUAUUGGAGCGGCCGAUGGCAGAUUAGCUAGUUGGUGGGGUAAAGGCCUACCAAGGCGACGAUCUGUAGCUGGUCUGAGAGGACGACCAGCCACACUGGGACUGAGACACGGCCCAGACGCCUACGGGAGGCAGCAGUGGGGAAUUUUGGACAAUGGGCGAAAGCCUGAUCCAGCAAGGCCGCGUGUGUGAUGAAGGCCUUCGGGUUGUAAAGAACUUUUGGCGGGAACGAAAAGGACUGUGCCAAUACCACGGUUCGAUGACGGUACCCGCAGAAUAAGCACCGGCUAACUACGUG